CAGGGCUUCCACUCCUGAGAAGCAAAGGAAGGAAAUAGAAUUCUGGGAGGGAAAUAAGGAUGAAGAAAUUGAGUGAACCCAACUCCAUGUCAGGUUGAUUCAACUGAAACAUAGGUCAUGAUGCCAACCUCUAAGGUGAUAAAUGCCAUCUCACUAGAGAAGUGAAUUGAGGCUAGAGGGAACUUCUACAAUCAACGUGAGGCAGAUGAAGUCUCACUCUGUCACCAGGCUGGAGUGCAGUAGGGUGAUUUUGGCUCACUGAAACUUCCGCCUUCUGGGAUCAUGAGAUUCUCCUGCCUCAGCUUCCUGAGUAGCUGGGACUACAGGAGAUUUGUCCAGGACCCUGAAGUAGACACUUAAAACCACAGGGAGUACUGAAAUCUACAUGCACUAUAAGGCUUGUAAGCAGAAGUGACUUGCCUUGUCUCAGAUGAGACUUUGGACUUAUACUUUUGGGUUAAUGCUGAAAUGAGUUAAGACUUUGGGGGACUGUUUGGAAGGCAUGAUUGGUUUUGAAAUGUGAAAAGCACAUACAAUUUGAAAGGGGCCAGGGCAGAAUAAUAUGGUUUGUCUCUGUGUCCUCACCCAAAUCUCAUCACAGAUUAUAAUCUGCAUCUGUCAAGGGAGAAACCUGGUGGAAGAUGACUGGAUAUUGAGGGAGGUCUUUUCCAUGCUGUUCUCAUGAUAGUGAAGGAGUUCUUACAAAAUCCGAUUGUUUAAAACUGGCAGUUUCCCUUCUCUCCUGCUUCCAUGUAAGUUACACUUUGCUUUCCCUUAGCCUUCCACCAUGAUCAUGACUGUAAGUUUCCUGAGGCCUUCCAGCCAUAUGGAACUGUGAAUCAAUUAAACCUAUUUUCCUCAUAAGUUACCCAGUCUCAGGGUGCAUCUUUAUAACCAUGUGAAAAUUAAUACACAGAGCUUAGAAGAGCUCAAGUUAUUUCAUGUAUCUGUUAAUAUUACAUAUGUCUCAUAAAUUUAAUCAUUUUGAAAGGUAUAUAUGUAUGUGUGUAUCUAAAAUAAUUUUAGUUUAUACUUACCAUAUAACAUGAAAUUGAGUACAUUUUUGUACAUUUACUGGCCAUUUGGGUAUCUGCUUUUGUAGAUCUGCUUUUGUAUAAGGCAGGAGUCAACAGUAAUUUAUAUCACAAGAGUAUCCAAUUGACUAAGUGCCAUUUAUUGAAAAAUAUUAUCUUUUUAAAUAAAUCAACUAUUCAUAGAUGUCCAGGAUUAUUUCUGGACAACUUUUGUGGUUCCAUUAGCUUAGUCAUCUAUUCUUGUACCAAUACUACUGUUUUCCUUGCUAUAGUUUUAUAGUAAGUUUUGACACAUGGUAGCCUAAGUUCCACAAGGUUUUGAAUCUUCAAAUUGCCCUUCUUUAUUAGCUUAUUGCACUGCCACAUGUAUUUUAGUAUU